rnacentral:rRNA from 1 species
CUUGUGACUUAGUGGCGGACGGGUGAGUAACGCGUGGGUAACCUGCCUCACACAGGGGAUAACAGUUGGAAACGACCGCUAAUACCGCAUAACCCGCUAGGGCCGCAUGGCCCGGACGGAAAAGAUUUAUCGGUGUGAGAUGGACCCGCGUUGGAUUAGCUAGUUGGCAGGGUAACGGCCUACCAAGGCGACGAUCCAUAGCCGGCCUGAGAGGGUGAACGGCCACAUUGGGACUGAGACACGGCCCAA